UACAGAGGUCCCAAGCGUUGUUCGGAUUCACUGGGCGUAAAGGGUGCGUAGGUGGUGAGGUAAGUCUUAUGUGAAAGCUCGGAGCUUAACUCCGAAAUGGCAUAGGAAACUACCUUGCUGGAGGGUUGGAGGGGGGACUGGAAUACUUGGUGUAGCAGUGAAAUGCGUAGAUAUCAAGUGGAACACCAGUGGCGAAGGCGAGUCCCUGGACAACUCCUGACACUGAGGCACGAAAGCUAGGGGAGCAAACGGG
rnacentral:rRNA from 1 species